AGUGAACGCUGGCGGUAGGCCUAACACAUGCAAGUCGAACGGCAGCACAGGAGAGCUUGCUCUCUGGGUGGCGAGUGGCGGACGGGUGAGGAAUACAUCGGAAUCUACUCUGUCGUGGGGGAUAACGUAGGGAAACUUACGCUAAUACCGCAUACGACCUACGGGUGAAAGCAGGGGACCUUCGGGCCUUGCGCGAUUGAAUGAGCCGAUGUCGGAUUAGCUAGUUGGCGGGGUAAAGGCCCACCAAGGCGACGAUCCGUAGCUGGGCUGAGAGGAGGAGCAGCCACACUGGAACUGAGACACGGUCCAGACUCCUACGGGAGGCAGCAGUGGGGAAUAUUGGACAAUGGGCGCAAGCCUGAUCCAGCCAUACCGCGUGGGUGAAGAAGGCCUUCGGGUUGUGAAGCCCUUUUGUUGGGAAAGAAAUCCAGCUGGCUAAUACCCGGUUGGGAUGACGGUACCCAAAGAAUAAGCACCGGCUAACUUCGUGCCAGCAGCCGCAGUAA
rnacentral:rRNA from 1 species